rnacentral:rRNA from 1 species
UACGUAGGGGGCAAGCGUUGUCCGGAUUUAUUGGGCGUAAAGAGCGUGUAGGCGGCCAUACAGGUCAGCUGUGAAAACUCGAGGCUUAACCUCGAGACGCGGUUGAAACCGUAUGGCUAGAGUCCGGAAGAGGAGAGUGGAAUUCCCGGUGUAGCGGUGAAAUGCGCAGAUAUCGGGAGGAACACCAGUAGCGAAGGCGG